UGCACGGCGGACACCCGCCCCGAAACCGGCGUUCGGAAAGUUCCAGCAGGAGCGAGAGGUCACAGUCCACAAGCUGCGUUUUAUCGUCUAAUGGGACAGUCGAGCCUGCGUGUGAGAAGAUACGUGCCACGCGCGUCUGCCACUCUUGCUGCCGCAUUCUUGAAUUUUGCUGGGCCCACGAGGUGUCAGCAAGACUCCAAAUGAAUACAAGGUGUACCUGUGGGAUAUACUUCCAGAAGUGGAAUUGCUGAAUCAAAAGAAGCUCUUUGUAAAAUGGGCGCUGUGAGUACAGCAGGAACAAAACAAAGUCUCCGCCUUCACAAGGCCAACUUCCCAUGAAUGAUCCCUUUCUAUAACGGGUACUGCUAGAAAGAAUUCUCUUCUUUCAAUACAGAGACUGAGGCCAUGGGCAGCAAUGAUUGAUUACGUUGCCAUUGUCUUCUUCUGUGAGCAAUUUUCCGGGUUGACCUACUCUUCCAGGAAAAUAAUCUAUAUUCCUCAUGGAAUAAAUCAAUUUCCAAAAAUAAGGGAAUGUGCACUCUUGCAGUUAUUAAAAAUCAUGUUCUCAGAAAUAUUUAAAGAAAUGGGGAAGUGCUUAUGAUACAUUACUGCAUACAAAGGCAAGCCACGAAGCACCAGGCACAGCACAAAACCAGUCUCAUAGAAUAUAUCUAGCCAUAAGCAUAGGAAAAAGAGUGGAAAACUGUACCCCAAAUGUUUAUAGUGGUUACCUCUGAGUACUGGGUUAUGGAUGAUUUUAAUUUUCUUUUUUAUCCUUGCUCUGUUUCCUAAUAUUUUUCACAAUGAAUAUGCAUUUUUCUGAAAAUUGGCAAUAAUGGUCAUACAAAUUUUAAAAAUAAUAUUGAACAGAAUGUAAGCUAAACUUUGUGUCUUGAGUGAACAGGAGCCAUUGAUUUGGUGCAAAGCAGGCAGCACUAGGGAAAAGUUUAUCCUUUUCAAUCCUCUGAGCACAUUGAUGCUGAUGCUCAAGUUAUUUUCAGUACUCCAUUCACAUUCAGCAAUAAUAAUUUCAUUUGCCAUUCCCCCCAGAGGCUGUAAGAUUUAUUGGGAACAGCCAACAUUUUAUGAAUCAUGAAUUACAUGAAACCUGGAGAAUACUGUAAGAAUGUAUUCAUGUAAGAAUACAUUCAUGUAAGAAUACUGCAACUCAUCUAAAUCAACUGCAUCUCAAUAAAUUUUUAGUAAACGCAUGGUCAUGCUCCAGGCACUUAGGCCCCAUACCUUAGUCUUGCCCUUACUUCCUCCAUCUUAAUCCCAUGCAACUCUUUUGAUCAGCUAAUGAGUCUUUCUUUGAAAUAUUUCUUGUAGCUAUCUAUUCCUCUCUGACUUCCCAGCUACAAUACCAGUCAUGACUCAGACUAUCUGUUGCCUCCAUUACCACAGCAACCUUCUGUAUCAGACAGGUAUGUGUUCCAAACAAAACUGCGUAAGUUCAAAUGUGGGCUCUACUUCUGCAUGACCUUAGGCAAGUUUCUUGACUUCUCUAUGCAUUUCUUUCUUCUCUUAUAAAAUGGAGUAGCAAUAAUAUCUAAUUUGUUAGUUUGUUGUGAGAAAAUACGUGUAAAAGCACUUAGAACAGCAACUGGGCACAUAGUUAAUGAUCAAUAAAUGUUAGCCAUAUCAAUUAUAUAAUCAAUUUAUUUUCACCUACUUUCGGCCUUCUGGCCAGGUCAACAAUCUUGAGUUACAUCAUGUCACUCCUUUGGUUAUA